UAAGACGAACCGUGCAAACGUUGUUCGGAAUCACUGGGCUUAAAGGGCGCGUAGGCGGUCGGCCAAGUCAGGGGUGAAAUCCUGCAGCUCAACUGUAGAAGUGCCUUUGAUACUGGCCGGCUCGAGGGAGGUAGGGGUCUGUGGAACUUCUGGUGGAGCGGUGAAAUGCGUUGAUAUCAGAAGGAACGCCGGUGGCGAAAGCGACAGACUGGACCUCUUCUGACGCUGAGGCGCGAAAGCCAGGGGAGCAAACGGGAUUAGAUACCCCGGUAGUCCUGGCCCUAAACGAUGGGCACUAGAUUGUAGACUUAUCAUGGGUUUACAGUCGAAGCAAAAGUGUUAAGUGCCCCGCCUGGGGAGUAUGGUCGCAAGGCUG
rnacentral:rRNA from 1 species